GAGACAAGCACUCUUGCCACUAGGCCACAUUCCCAGUCCAGUGAGGGUUUUAAAAUUUUUAAUUUGCAACAUUUGAACUAGGCAAGCUUUACUCCUUUUUUGGUGAAUGGAGGUUUGGCAUAACUAUAUAAUUAUGGUUUACAACUGUUGACAGACUAUGAUAGGGUCUAAGAUCACAGGGAUAAGACUAGUUUUGACUGUUUCAAGCCGAUCUUAAUUAUAGAAGACUGUUAGAUAACAAAUGCAGGAGUCUGGUAUUUGGCUUUAAAGGUAGAGUUUUCUUGGUUUUGUUUGUUUACCUAGUGGUAUGAUGUUUUAGAAGACAUACUUCUCCGUAAGUUUUUUUUACUCAUGACCUUCCAUUCUUGACAGCGUUCCUGAAGGCAGCAGGAAUGACACAGGAAGGAUAAAAGCAGGCACGUCGGCAACCAGGCAACUUCCUGCAUGAAACAGAGUUCCUGAAGGCACCAGGAACAACAGGGAGGAAAAAGCAGGCAUCUCCACACCAGGCAACUUAUUGUGUGAGCUAGGGUAGGAAAACUGGACUCAAGUACGUCCUUGAAGAAUGGGUAUUUUGGAGGUUGAAUAUGACUGAGGUGUGUCCUGGACACAACCUGAAUUCUGAGUUGUUUCCUUCUCCUGCAAGAGAAAUUGCCAGACAUGGACCAAAUGAGUUUCAGGGUGUCUAAGAAACCUCCAGUUAGGCCUUCUGUGAGUGCACAGGAUAGUCAAAGGAGAGGAGACCUACUGAGAAUGGGAAAUUUACUAUAGGUCUAGGAAAACCAAGGAAAGAGCCAAGGGAGAUCCCAUGAUAUUCUAUAGUCCACUGAGGGGAGAAUGUUGAUGUGGGGGAGCAUGAUUCCUGAACCAAAAAUGAGAUGAUCCAAAUAUUGUUUUUUGGGGGCAUGAGGUGGGAGGCGAGUUGGGGGGCUUUGACUCCCCAGAGCUUAGGAACUGUCCCUGGGCUCUUGAUCCACAGCU